rnacentral:rRNA from 1 species
ACAGCAGCCGCCGCGGUAAUACGUAGGGUGCAAGCGUUGAUCGGAAUUACUGGGCGUAAAGCGUGCGCAGGCAGUUCGUUAAGACAGAUGUGAAAUCCCCGGGCUUAACCUGGGAACUGCAUUUGUGACUGGCGGGCUAGAGUAUGGCAGAGGGGGGUAGAAUUCCACGUGUAGCAGUGAAAUGCGUAGAUAUGUGGAGGAAUACCGAUGACGAAGGCAGCCCCCUGGGAUAACACUGACGCUCAUGCACGAAAGCGUGGGGAGCAAACAGGAUUAGAUACCCCCGUAGUCCCUGUCUCUUAUAC